AACGGCCAAUAUGCAGUCUGAGGUAACUUUCUAAGGGAGCAGUCCUGCUUUGCAGAGGAACAUGAGUCUCAACAUUUCCCGGGCUCCAGCGAUCUAGUGACCGGCCCCAGUGCUAAAACCAGUUGAGAGGACUUGGACUGCCUGUUCCUGGUCUCCUGCAUCACUCACUGGGCACGUGCUUGGCCCCUACUGUGUAGGCUGUGUGCUCUGCAUGGAUCGGUUACUCAGUGAUGGUUAG